UACGUAGGGGGCAAGCGUUGUCCGGAAUCAUUGGGCGUAAAGGGCGUGUAGGCGGCUCGGUAAGUCCGCUCUGAAAGCCCGGGGCUCAACCCCGGGAGGCGGGCGGAUACUGUCGGGCUAGAGUCCGGAAGAGGCGAGUGGAAUUCCUGGUGUAGCGGUGAAAUGCGCAGAUAUCAGGAGGAACACCAAUGGCGAAGGCAGCUCGCUGGGACGUGACUGACGCUGAGACGCGAAAGCGUGGGGAGCAAACAGG
rnacentral:rRNA from 1 species